UACGAAGGGGGCUAGCGUUGUUCGGAAUUACUGGGCGUAAAGCGCACGUAGGCGGAUAUUUAAGUCAGGGGUGAAAUCCCAGAGCUCAACUCUGGAACUGCCUUUGAUACUGGGUAUCUUGAGUAUGGAAGAGGUAAGUGGAAUUGCGAGUGUAGAGGUGAAAUUCGUAGAUAUUCGCAGGAACACCAGUGGCGAAGGCGGCUUACUGGUCCAUAACUGACGCUGAGGUGGCGAAAGCGUGGGGAGCCAAACAGG
rnacentral:rRNA from 1 species